AAUGAUAUUCUACUAAUCAUGAUACUAUGUCUCAAUAUACAAUUGAAUGAGCUACUACAUAGGAUGUACUCUACAACAUGCACUAUGCCUCAUAUUCAAUGAAAUGCAAGAGCUACUACAUAGUAUGAAUCUACAACAUGAUACUAUGCCUCAACAAUAAAGAAAUGAGCUACUACAUAGUGAUGUCUCUACACAUGCUACUAUGCCUCA
rnacentral:lncRNA from 1 species